GGCGCAGGCCGGGUGACCGCGGGCCGGUCUCGGCUCGAGGAAAGUCCGGACACCGCAGGGCAGGACGCUGGGGCGACCCAGGCGGCGAAAGCCGACGGAAAGUGGCACAGAAAGGAGACCGCCUGCGGCGAGAGCAACUCUCCGGAGACGCCGAAGGCAAGGGUGAAACGGUGGGGUAAGAGCCCACCAGCGUCGUGGCGACACGGCGGCUCGCCAAACCCCGUCCGGUGCAAGGCGAACAGGCUCCGCUACGAGGCGGCCCGCCGAGGAGCCGGGUAGCCGCAGAGAUGGAUGGUCACCCUCGACAGAAUCCGGCUUACAGGCCUGCUACGGAA
rnacentral:RNase_P_RNA from 1 species